rnacentral:rRNA from 1 species
GGUUUAAUUCGAAGCAACGCGAAGAACCUUACCAGGUCUUGACAUCCGAUGCUAUUUCUAGAGAUAGAAAGUUACUUCGGUACAUCGGUGACAGGUGGUGCAUGGUUGUCGUCAGCUCGUGUCGUGAGAUGUUGGGUUAAGUCCCGCAACGAGCGCAACCCCUAUUGUUAGUUGCCAUCAUUCAGUUGGGCACUCUAGCGAGACUGCCGGUAAUAAACCGGAGGAAGGUGGGAUGACGUCAAAUCAUCAUGCCCCUUAUGACCUGGGCUACACACGUGCUACAAUGGUUGGUACAACGAGUUGCGAGUCGGUGACGGCGAGCUAAUCUCUUAAAGCCAAUCUCAGUUCGGAUUGUAGGCUGCAACUCGCCUACAUGAAGUCGGAAUCGCUAGUAAUCGCGGAUCAGCACGCCGCGGUGAAUACGUUCCCGGGCCUU